rnacentral:rRNA from 1 species
UACGGAGGGUGCGAGCGUUGUCCGGAAUUACUGGGCGUAAAGUGUGCGCAGGCGGCCGCGCAAGUCGAGUGUGAAAGCCCCGAGCUUAACUUGGGAAUUGCGCUCGAAACUACGUGGCUGGAGUGUGGCAGAGGAAGGUGGAAUUCCACGUGUAGCGGUGAAAUGCGUAGAGAUGUGGAGGAACACCAAUGGCGAAGGCAGCCUUCUGGGCCAACACUGACGCUCAUGCACGAAAGCGUGGGGAGCAAACAGG